rnacentral:lncRNA from 1 species
CACGUAGGUUUAAGGUAGAAUAGUAUUUGCACUGUUCUCUUCAAGUUCAAAGUAAAUUCUCUUUAUUCCUUUUAAACACAAAAUGCAGGUUAAAAAAAAAAAAAAAAACUUCACACUGAACUUACUAAACAUAGAGCAGAUUGAUGUUGCUUCCCGCCACCCCAUGUCUAAAUGUGUCCAAGGCAGUUCUCUUGUCAACAGCUAAUCACCAUUAACUGACAACUCAAAUGUAUAAAGCAGAAGAAGACAAUAAAGCUUUACCUUUCUUUUUCAGUGGGUACCUGAAGUAAAGAAGAUUUCUAGUGAUCUAAGAUAUCACAAGACCCAGUAAACCAAGUCGUUAAAAGAUCAGAAGCAGAUAGAAUGAAAAUAUAUCCUUCAUGUAGGAAAUAAUUCCUCAAAAAAAGCACAUUCCUGGGAGGGACACGCUGCAGGCUCUCAGGCAGCAUGCUGACAAGCACUGCUUCCAGCUGUGGCUCUUUAGGGAUGGUCCAAGAGGGAUGAUCAUGUGUUUAUUUGGUCAGUAGCCAUUCUCUCUCUCUAGCAUGGCAGAUAGGCACUGCUGGCCAACCCAAAGGUUGAGAGAAGAGCCUGUUUUGGCAAGCAUGUUCUUUUGGCCGACUGCGAGGCAGUGAAUAGCUGACAGGCUAGAAUCUGUUCAUCUUUCUGGCUGACUCUCUUUGGGGGCUUCAUGCAGAUGGUGUUACAGGAAGCAGCAAGGUCAGAGAGGGUUGAAGAGAACCAGGCUUUACUCCACAGCUGCUACUGAUCUACUGGGAUUCAGCUACGCAAUGGCAACUUGUCUUAUAUGGGAUCCAUAUGUUGUAGAAAGAAGGGAGCAGAAUGAUGGUGUGGAACUGGUUCCAGCAACUGCAAAUGGUUGUCCACUGGUACAUGGCUGCCUUCUCCUGGGCAUCCUUCUGAUUUGUUACAGCUGGAAAUUUUUAUCUCUUUCCUCUCAACUCAGACCUUGAAGAAGCAAUGAGAGGGGACAUCGAUGAGAGCAAAUCCUGGACCAAGGUUCCUAUUGCCUGCCAGUGUUCUGAUGAACAUUUUCUUACUUGAGCAGCCGAGGAAACAAGGUUCCUGGUGCAGUCUGCUCUCUCCACAUUUACCAGUGCACUGUCUCAAUAUUUCAGAAAAAAAAACAGUGCCUUACAUUCGUCAGGUGUUGCAGGAUUGUAAGAUCUUCAUUCUCAGUACUGGAGAGACAUGGAGAUACUGGACAGAGUCCAGUGAAGGGCUAACAAGAUGAUGAAACAACCAGAGCAUCUCCGCUAUAAGGAAAGUCUGAGAGAGUUGGGACUGCGGCCUGGAGAAGAGGCAUCUCUGGGAAUCUCCUCAAUGUCUGUCAAUACAUGAAGGGAGGAUGCAAAGAAGAUGGAUCGAGGCUCUUUUCAGUGGUGCCCAGUAACAGGACAGGGUGCAAUGGGCACAAACUGGAGCAGAAGAGGUUGCCUCUGAACAACAUGAAGCAUUUCUGUGCUGUGAAGAUGCCUGAGCACUGGCACAGGUUUCCCAGGGAGGCUGUGGAGCCUCACUUCUUGGGGAUCUUCAAAAGAUGCCUGGACAUGGUCCUGGGCAACCUACUCUGGGUGUCCAUGCUUUAGCAGGGGGUUGGACCAGGUGACUUCCAGAGGUCCUGUCUACCCUCAACCAUUCUGUGAUUCUCUAAUUCUGUGAAAGUAAAGGGAACAUAUUUUUUGUCCAGCAAAUUUUCUUAAAGGCUGCAUUGGCACUGAACAUUAGGAUAAAUGAUUUCACAUUAUGGUAUAUUGGUGAUAAAUCCAGUUUCAAGCUUCUUAGAAAAUUACUGGCCCUCAGUAAUUUCUGAGGAGUGUGCUCUGAGCCAGUGAGUGAAAUGAACUGUGUUGAAAAUAGCCUUCUAAAAUAUGGAACUGUACCCUUGGCAGCUUAGUCUUUAAUGUAUUCUUGAUGAACAACUUGUCCUGCACCACAGGGAGAUUCCUUGGUGGUAAGGUGUCUUUUCUAUGUUGUAAAAUAGUACCAUUAUUGUUUUUUAUUUGUUUGUUUGCCUGUUGCUCUGAUUCAAGUUGUAUUGUGUAUGAACUUUAAUUUCUGGGACUGUAACUGUAUAAAUUGCUUCCUGACCUUCUCCGGAAAAAAAAAAAAAAAGAAAAAAGAAAAAAAAAAACAACCAAUUAUUUAUAUAUUAGUUUGAUGAUUGCUUAUUCUUCAUAUUUAGUUACCUGAUAUAUAAAAUAAAGAAGCUACAUCUGUAGAUGCUUUCUUUAUA